UACGUAGGGGCAAGCGUUGUCCGGAUUCAUUGGGCGUAAAGAGCGUGUAGGCGGCCAGGUAGGUGGGUUGUGAAAACUGGAGGCUCAACCUUCAGAGGUCGACCCAAACCCCCUGGCUAGAGUCCGGAAGAGGAGAGUGGAAUUCCUGGUGUAGCGGUGAAAUGCGCAGAUAUCAGGAAGAACACCCGUGGCGAAGGCGGCUCUCUGGGACGGUACUGACGCUGAGACGCGAAAGCGUGGGGAGCGAACAGG
rnacentral:rRNA from 1 species